UACAGGGGGGGGCAAGCGUUGUUCGGAAUUACUGGGCGUAAAGGAUGCGUAGGCGGACAUUUUAAGUCAGAUGUGAAAUACCCGAGCUUAACUUGGGUGCUGCAUUUGAAACUGGGUGUCUAGAGUGCAGGAGAGGUAAGUGGAAUUCCUAGUGUAGCGGUGAAAUGCGUAGAGAUUUAGGAAGAACACCAGUGGCGAAAGGCGACUUACUGGACUGUAAACUGACGCUGAGGCAUGAAAAGCGUGGGGGAGCAAACAGG
rnacentral:rRNA from 1 species